GGGAGAUACAGGGAGGGAGAGAUGGAGAGAGAUAGAGGGAUAAAGAGAUAUAGAGAGGGAGAUACAGAGAGAUGGAGAUACAGAGAUAGAGAGAGAGGGAGAUAUAGAGAGAUACAGAGAGAGAGAGGGAGAUAUGGGGGGAGAGAUGGGGGGAGAGAGAGAUAUAGAGAUAGAGGGAGAUACAGAGAGAGAGGGAGAGAUGGAGGGAGAUGGAGGGAGAUAUAGAGAUAGAGAGAGGGAAAUAUAGAGAUAGAUAUAGAGAUAGAGGGAGAUGGAGGGAUAUAGAGGGAUAUAGAGAGAUACAGAGGGAGAGAUAGAGAUAGAGGGAGAGAUAGAGAGAGAUAUAGGGGGAGAGAUAGAGAUGGAGGGAGAUAGAGAGAGAUAUAGAGGGAUAGAGGGAGAUACAGAGGGAGAUGGAGAGAUGGAAGGAGGGGGAGAUAUAGGGGGAGAGAUGGAGGGAGAUAGAGGGAAAUAGAGAGAGAGAGAUAUAGAGGGAUACAGAGGGAGAUAGAGAGAUGGGGGAGAUAUACAGAGGGACAUAGAGGGAGAUAGAGAGAGAGAGGGAGAUAGAGAGAUAGAGAGGGAGAUACAGAGAGAUACAGAGAUGGAGGGAGAGAUAUAGAGAUGGAGAUAUAGAGAGAGAUAGAGAGAUAGAUAGAGAUACAGAGAGAGAUAUAGAGAGAGAUAGAGGGAAAUAGAGAGAGGGAGAUAGGGAAAUAUAGAGAUAGAUAUAGAGGGAGAGAUAGAGA
ensembl:lncRNA